rnacentral:rRNA from 1 species
UACGUAGGGUGCAAGCGUUAAUCGGAAUUACUGGGCGUAAAGCGCACGUAGGCGGCUUUUUAAGUCGGAGGUGAAAUCCUGGAGCUCAACUCCAGAACUGCCUUCGAUACUGGAGAGCUUGAGUCCGGGAGAGGUGAGUGGAACUGCGAGUGUAGAGGUGAAAUUCGUAGAUAUUCGCAAGAACACCAGUGGCGAAGGCGGCUCACUGGCCCGGUACUGACGCUGAGGUGCGAAAGCGUGGGGAGCAAACAGG